rnacentral:tmRNA from 1 species
GGGGACGCAUUGAUUCGACGGAAGCGCACCUUGACAAGCGGCAAGCCGACUUUGACUCAAAGUCGUAAAACAGGGGUUAAAACACAACUGACGCUAAUACAGCUUCAGACAGCGUAGUCAGCGAUGACUAUGCUUCAGCAGCCUUUAACUACGCAGUAGUUCAGGCCUAAACUGACAUUUACUCAUGAUUUGGCUCGGUGGAUCGGAGUAGGUGGAAACACAGCCGGGAUGCACCUCUAAAUUUGAGGCAAUUUAGAGCCAAGCUUUAGUCUCAAAAACCAAAACCUCCGACUUUACCGUUGGAGUAAGCUUGUAGAUGCUUGUUCCAUGUGUUUUUCGGACGAGGAGUCACUCUCCUCCGUCUCCACAA